rnacentral:rRNA from 1 species
GAUGAACGCUGGCGGCGUGCCUAAUACAUGCAAGUCGAGCGAACGGACGAGAAGCUUGCUUCUCUGAUGUUAGCGGCAGGCGGGUGAGUAACACGUGUAUAACCUACCUAUAAGACUGGGAUAACUUCGGGACACCGUAGCUAAUCCCGGAUAAUCUUUUGCACCGCAUGGUUCAAAAGUGAAAGACGGUCUUGCUGUCUCUUCUCGAUGCAUCCGCGCUGCAUUAGCUAGUUGUUAAGGUAACGGCCUACCAAGGCAACGAUGCAUAGCCGACCUGAGAGGGUGAUCGGCGACACUGGAACUGAGACACGGUCCAGGCUCCUGCGGGAGGCAGCAGUAGGGAAUCUUCCGCAACGGGCGAAAGCCUUACGGAGCAGCGCCGCGUGAGUGAUGAAGGUCUUCGGAUCGUAAAACUCUGUUAUUAGGGAAGAACAGAUGUGGAAGGAACUGUGCACAUCGUGACGGUACCGAAUCAGAAAGCCACGGCUAACUACGUG